UGUUCCUGGCCAGAUCUGUGCCUGUGACUCCGCCCAGCGUUACGGGCACAGAGUCACAGACUUGGGCAAAUAUAUAGGAGAUAUAUAUUUAUUUUUUCUGACAGAGAAGUCUGCAAACAGAACAGAUUAAUUGUGCUGCUUACAUCUUGGAGACAAUCUGGAGCCAGAAAAGCUUUAAGAAUGCAACUUUAAAAAUCUCUGCCUAUUACAUCCAGCUACUUAUUACCUUCAACAGGAAACAUCUGGAUGGCAACUGCAGAGAAUCUUUAACAUGGCACGUGUCUGGUGAUUUUGAGACUAUAAAUACUACUACUGUACAUCUGCCGAUUUACAACUUGCCAUAAAAUCACCAGAAAUGAAACUGUAGGUUAUUACAUUCCCCCACUUGCCGUAUUUUCCAGUGUUUCAGUUAAACCCGCCCACAAGCAGAUCUCCGUUUAGGUUGGAAAGUAGGUUGACUUCUCUGAGGAAGCCGCUGAAUCUUUGAGAGGCGGAGAAACGCGUAAGAGGUCUCUAUCAUCAUUGUCCGGUACCGGUCUACAUUUUGAUAACCUGCAGGCGUUUGGACCACUAUUGGGACACUCCAGAUAUGGCACCACUAAAGGGUAUUUAAAGCACCAGGAGCCGAGAGACACCAUCAUACUGGACCAAAGGGUUUAUUUCCAGACCCAGGUCACAGGAGCUGGAAUACCUGAAGACAGCAUGCAGGAACAUCCACAGACAGGAGAGACAUCUAAGACUGAGAUAGACAACCAAAGCACUGACGAUUAGGCGGUCUGGUUUCAGGAUAUUUAUUUAUACCAGCUGGGAAGCAGGUAUUGGCUGAGCAAUCAAGAACAGGAGGAACAUGCUGACUAAUCGCUAUGAAAGCGCUGCCGGGAUUGCUGAGGGGAGACUGUGGAGAUGCCGUGCAGGGCGCUUCCUGCAGACAGCGCAGGUGGAAUCCAGGCUUGGAGCGCAGGGACAGUCUCAGGAGGCAUGGCCACAACAGGUUGGAGGUGUAUUUGUGCUUCUUUGUCAGCCUCUGACCCCCAUCAGGCAUUCACUUAUAUAUAUUGUACCCUCCCCACUAUACUUGAUUAUCCUGCAUCCAUUUUAUCUGUAAUACAAAAGUGAUAUUUAAUUUGAAUCACAGUAUACUGCAGACCUAUUUUCUAAUGGUAAUCCUGCAGUACUCCAUUGUGUAAGAGAUAGUCAACUGAAAAGCUGAUACUGAGUCACAUGCAAGUUCGGAACCCAUUCCCUACACUUUGUGAUAUGGUAGCCAAUGGGCUACAAUUACUAACUCCUUCUACUCAUGGCAAAGAUUGUAACAUGCAGACAUAUUGCAGCCCCAAAGAAACCUAAGGGGACUGCUCUGCCUUGGGAUUGCAGCAGAUAUUGGAGAUAUAUGGUGAGAUUACUGAUAAUACAUAUGGGAAUCCUAGAGUGAUGUGUUAAAAAACAGCUAACCUUCAACUCUUACCUAUGAACCCAAUACUUUUCUAUUAGAAUAAAGGAAUUCCCAUCUUUAUCUCACUGCUAGUCCUUAUCUACAUACCAAGAUUAACAGGAAUGGUGCCAGAUUAUAAUCUUUACUGACAAUUCUAUUAA